rnacentral:rRNA from 1 species
AUUGAACGCUGGCGGCAUGCCUUACACAUGCAAGUCGAACGGCAGCACGGGAGCAAUCCUGGUGGCGAGUGGCGAACGGGUGAGUAAUAUAUCGGAACGUGCCCAGUCGUGGGGGAUAACGCAGCGAAAGCUGUGCUAAUACCGCAUACGAUCUACGGAUGAAAGCGGGGGAUCGCAAGACCUCGCGCGAUUGGAUCGGCCGAUAUCAGAUUAGCUAGUUGGUGAGGUAAAGGCUCACCAAGGCGACGAUCUGUAGCUGGUCUGAGAGGACGACCAGCCACACUGGAACUGAGACACGGUCCAGACUCCUACGGGAGGCAGCAGUGGGGAAUUUUGGACAAUGGGCGCAAGCCUGAUCCAGCAAUGCCGCGUGCAGGAUGAAGGCCUUCGGGUUGUAAACUGCUUUUGUACGGAACGAAGCGGCGAGCUCUAAUACAGUUUGCUAAUGACGGUACCGUAAGAAUAAGCACCGGCUAACUACGUGCCAGCCGCCGCCGUAAUAC